rnacentral:rRNA from 1 species
UACGGAGGAUGCAAGCGUUAUCCGGAAUUAUUGGGCGUAAAGCGUCCGUAGGUGGUUGUUCAAGUCUGCUGUUAAAGCGUGCGGCUUAACCGCAUAUCAGCAGUGGAAACUGGACGACUAGAGUGCGGUAGGGGUCAGGGGAAUUCCCAGUGUAGCGGUGAAAUGCGUAGAUAUUGGGAAGAACACCGGUGGCGAAAGCGCCUGACUGGACCUGCACUGACACUGAGGGACGAAAGCUAGGGGAGCGAAAGGG